rnacentral:rRNA from 1 species
AUGCGUAGGGUACAAACGUUAUCCGGAGUUAUUGGGCGUAAAGAGAUGCGUAGGCGGCUUAAUAAGUCUAAGGUUAAAGUCCACGGCUCAACCGUGGAAAAGCUUUGGAUACUGUUAUGCUUGAGAUAUAGAGGGGUGAAUGGAAUUCCGAGUGGAGUGGUGAAAUACGUUGAUAUUCGGAAGAACACCAGUGGCGAAGGCGAUUCACUGGCUAUAUUCUGACGCUAAGGCUCGAAAGUAUGGGUAGCAAAACGGAUUAGAUACCCGUGUAGUCCAUACCGUAAACGAUGAAUGCUAGGUGUUUGACUCAACUGUCUAAUGUCUUCGGAUUUUUAGAUGGAAGAGUUAAGUGCCGCAGUUAACGCGAUAAGCAUUCCGCCUGGGAAGUACAACCCGCAAGGUUAAAACUCAAAUGAAUUGGCGGGGACCCGCACAAGCGGAGGAGCGCGUGGUUUAAUUCGAUGGUAAUCGAAGAACCUUACCAGGGUUUGACAUGUAUCUGCAUGCCCCCAGAGACGGGGGAGGCCUUCGAGGGUGAUACACAGGCGCUGCAUGGCCGUCGUCAGCUCGUGUCGUGAGAUGUAGGGUUAAGUCCCGAAACGAGCGCAACCCCUAUCCUAUGUUACAAGUGUCUUAGGAAACUGCCUCGGUAAAACGGGGAGGAAGGAGGGGAUGACGUCUGGUCCGCAUAGCCCUUAUGUCCUGGGCUACACACGCACUACAAUGGUCGGUACAACGGGGAGCCAAGCCGCAAGGCGGAGCUAAUCCUUCAAAGCCGAUCUCAGUUCGAAUUGUGGGCUGAAAUUCGCCCACAUGAAGUUGGAUUCGCUAGUAAUCGCAGAUCAGCCAUGCUGCGGUGAAUACGUUCUCGGGUCUUGCACACACCGCCCGUCAAGCCACGGAAGUAGGUAAUACUCGAAGGUGUUCUGCUGCUUGCAGUGGAGCAACUAAGGUAAUACUUAUGACUGGGGCU